AACGAGUAGUCUAAAAAUGAACGGCUGAAAAAAAAAAAUUUAUUAAAAAAUAAUAAUAAAAGACUUGAAUUUAAUAUCAGAGAUACUGAUCUUAUUCUAAAUAGUGAAAAGAAUUUUCUAUAAAAAUUUUAUCAAAUUUCGAUUGUUUUAUACCGUUAAAUUCACAAACACAUCAAAUCUACCUUUAAAAUUAUCAAUUUGAAACCUUUUGAUCACUAGUCAAAUGAUGUUGAAAAAUUAUAAAAUUUAAUUUUUGAAUAUUUUCAAUAGUGUAGAUCAAGUCUGAUGGAGCCGAUCGUCGAUUUGAAAGCCGCAUCAUUAAAAAUAAUUUGGUAACACGAAGGCCUCUGUGCUACCGAUAGUAUACCAGUCUAGCGCGCUCUCUCUAUAUAUAUAUAUAUACAAAUACUCGCGUAAACUCUAAAACAUUUUCCAAUC
rnacentral:lncRNA from 1 species